AACGAACGCUGGCGGCAGGCUUAACACAUGCAAGUCGAACGCCCCGCAAGGGGAGUGGCAGACGGGUGAGUAACGUGUGGGAACAUACCCUUUCCUGCGGAAUAGCUCCGGGAAACUGGAAUUAAUACCGCAUACGCCCUACGGGGGAAAGAUUUAUCGGGGAAGGAUUGGCCCGCGUUGGAUUAGCUAGUUGGUGGGGUAAAGGCCUACCAAGGCGACGAUCCAUAGCUGGUCUGAGAGGAUGAUCAGCCACAUUGGGACUGGGACACGGCCCAAACUCCUACGGGAGGCAGCAGUGGGGAAUAUUGGACAAUGGGCGCAAGCCUGAUCCAGCCAUGCCGCGUGAGUGAUGAAGGCCUUAGGGUUGUAAAGCUCUUUCACCGAUGAAGAUAAUGACGGUAGUCGGAGAAGAAGCCCCGGCUAACUUCGUGCCAGCCGCCGCCGUAAUAC
rnacentral:rRNA from 1 species